rnacentral:rRNA from 1 species
AGGAAUGUAUAGCAAUAGCUAGUUGCAUCAUUGUAAUGAGGAUGCAAUAUUGACUAUGUNGAAUAAAAUUCUAGGUAGAAUUAUGAUAAUGACAUUGUCUGCCUAUGUGUCUUGACCAAAUUACGUGCCAGCAGUCGCGGUAAUACGUAGAAGACUAGUGUUAUUCAUGUUUAAUCGGUUUAAAGGGUACCUAGACGGCAGAUCAAGCUUUCCGAGAAGAAAAAAAAGAGAAAAAAGGACUAAUUUGCUAGAGUUACUUACGAGGGGGUUUUAAAGUACUGCUGGUGUAGAGAUGAAAUUCUGUCAUACCUCUUUUCGAAAGAAAAAUGAUGGCACAGGUAUAGGCGAAGGCAUCCCCUUAUGUGAUAACUGACGUUGAGGGACGAAGGCUUUAUAUAACGAACAGGAUUAGAUACCCCAGUAGUGGAAGCAGUAAAUGAUGAAUGUCAUAGAUUAGCUAGAUAGGUUCAUUCUAUAAAUGAAAGUGUAAGCAUUCCACCUCAUGAGUAAUUUGGCAACAUUGGAAUUGAAAUCAUUAGACCGUUUCUGAAACCAGUAGUGAAGUAUGUUGUUUAAUUUGAUGAUCCGCAAAAAACCUUACCACAAUUUGAAUAUUUAUAUUUUUUUUUAUUGUUUUCUUAUUAAUUUUCUUCUCUUUAAUUUAAGAACAAAGUAUUAAAGAAAAGAGGAAAAUAUUUAAUGCAGAGGCAAUAAGAUAUAUUUACAAGCGUUGCACGGCUGUCUUCAGUUAAUGUCGUGAGACUUUGGUUAGAUCCAUUAAAUUAACGUAAACCCUUACUUUAUUUUUAGAUAGAGUUGUUCCCCACUAUAUUGGAUAAGAU